CCAAAGGCUCUUUUCAGAGCCACCCACACGAUCGAGAAAGAGUUU
rfam:Tupaia chinensis contig45519, whole genome shotgun sequence.